rnacentral:rRNA from 1 species
UGUAGAGGUGAAAUUCGUAUAUAUUAGGAGGAACACCAGUGGCGAAGGCGUGUAUCUGGUUCAAAUCAGACGCUGAGGCGCUGAAGGCGUGGGGAGCAAACAGGAUUAGAUACCCUGGUAGUCCACGCUGUAAACGAUGAAUGUUAAAUAUGGGAAGUUUUACUUUCCGUAUUACAGCUAACGCGUUAAACAUUCCGCUUGGGGAGUACGGUCGCACGAUUAAAACUCAAAGGAAUUGACGGGGACCCGCACAAGCCGUGGAGCAUGUGGUUUAAUUUGAUGCAACGCGAAAAACCUUACCACUCCUUGACAUGGAAUUUAUACCUAUUUGAAGGGAUAGGGUCGGUUCGUCCGGGUUUCACACAGGUGUUGCAUGGCUGUCGUCAGCUCGUGUCUUGAGAUGUUGGGUUAAGUCCCGCAACGAGCGCAACCCUCAUCCUUAGUUACCAUCAGGUAAUGCUGGGGACUUUAAGGAAACUGCCAGUGAUAAACUGGAGGAAGGUGGGGAUGAUGUCAAGUCAUCAUGGCCCUUAUGGAGUGGGCUACACACGUGCUACAAUGGUGGCUACAAUGGGUUGCAAAGUCGCGAGGGUAAGCUAAUCCCUUAAAAGCCAUCUCAGUUCGGAUUGUACUCUGCAACUCGAGUGCAUGAAGUCGGAAUCGCUAGUAAUCGUGGAUCAGCACGCCACGGUGAAUACGUUCUCGGGUCUUGUACACACUGCCCGUCACGCCAUGGGAAUUGGUUUCACUCGAAGCUAACGACGUAACCGCAAGGAGCGGACUUACUUAAAGUGGGAUCGGUGAUUGGGGUGAAGUCGUAACAAGGUAGCAGUAGGGGAAUCUGCGGCUGGAU